rnacentral:rRNA from 1 species
GAAUUAUCUUAACUUUUUGUUGUUAUUUAAAUAAAGUUAUGUAUAAUUUUAUUUUCAACAUUGCUUGUAAUUUAUUCAUAGUUAAUGUUAAGUUUAUAAAUUAUCUUCAUUUUUAUAAUCAUCAAUCACGACCUCAUAUCAAGUGAGAUUACCCGCUGAAUUUAAGCAUAUUAAUAAGCGGAGGAAAAGAAACUAACAAUGAUUCCUUUAGUAACGGCGAGUGAAGAAGGAAUAGCUCAAAUUUAAAAUCAUGAAUCUUUGGUUUAUGAAUUGUAGUUUUAGAAGUUGGAUUCGUUUUUCAAUAAUAUACUUAAAUCCUUUGGAAAAAGGUAUCAUAGAAGGUGAAAAUCCUGUUUAUAGUAUAUUAAUUGAGGAACAUAUGUAUCUGAUUUCAAGAGUCGGGUUGUUUGGGAAUGCAACCUAAAAUGGGUGGUAAAUCUCAUCUAAAGCUAAAUAUUGAUAGGAGACCGAUAGCAAACAAGUACCGUGAGG